rnacentral:rRNA from 1 species
CACUGCCGAGAAAAGCCUCUAGAUAGAAAAUAGGUGCCCGUACCGCAAACCGACACAGGUAGUCAAGAUGAGAAUUCUAAGGUGAGCGAGCGAACUCUCGUUAAGGAACUCGGCAAAAUGACCCCGUAACUUCGGGAGAAGGGGUGCUCUUUAGGGUUAACGCCCAGAAGAGCCGCAGUGAAUAGGCCCAAGCGACUGUUUAUCAAAAACACAGGUCUCUGCUAAACCGUAAGGUGAUGUAUAGGGGCUGACGCCUGCCCGGUGCUGGAAGGUUAAGAGGAGUGGUUAGCUUCUGCGAAGCUACGAAUCGAAGCCCCAGUAAACGGCGGCCGUAACUAUAACGGUCCUAAGGUAGCGAAAUUCCUUGUCGGGUAAGUUCCGACCCGCACGAAAGGCGUAACGAUUUGGGCACUGUCUCAACGAGAGACUCGGUGAAAUCAUAGUACCUGUGAAGAUGCAGGUUACCCGCGACAGGACGGAAAGACCCCG